UUAUUUUAAUAUAUUUUUAAAUAAAAAACAUUUCAAAUCAGAAUCAUAAUUCCAAAAAUACAAACGCUGCUUAACAAUGAGUACGAGUUGGAGCUCUCGUGGGUUUAUGACUGGUGCUACUGCUAUUGAAUCAUCACUUUUAAAUACAAUUACUUACUUCAGGAGACAAUUCCAAACACAUCUAUUAUUACUUGCCUUUAGGAAGUUUGAAGUUUGCUUGCAUCUAGGGAUGCGUGUGUACGUGGCACGUGUUUGUUAAAUUAUUAAAGUAUUUUUUUUUUUUUACAUUAAUAUUUUUAAAAACAUUAAUUUAAUAUUUUUUAAAUAAAACAUGUUUUAAAUUAGUAUUCGUACUCUCAAACCAUAUUUAAAGACGUGCUCUUAAACAAGAUUUUAAAGAUAAAGAAUUGUACUCUCAAACGUUUAAAGAUAAAGAGAAGGGUAGCUUUUGAUUUUUAUACAAUUAUACUGGAAAAUCAUUUUGUUAAUCAAAAAACUUUUGUUUUUUAUAUUGAAUUUCAUAUAUAAUUGGUUUUUAAAUCUUAGCUUUGUAGAAUAUUAAAUAAAGAUCUAUCUCCCAGAAGUCACUCGCCAGGAUACACAUGAGCUAGAAACCAACAAUCAUCCGGGGAGACAGAUGGAGUAAAUCCCAAUUCUCUGGAAGCAAUUAAACGCAUCGCAAUUGAUUUUCACGUCUCUACUCAAUCUGGGGAGGAAUCGGAAUCGAACAGAAAGCAUGUCACAAUGGUAGGAUGACAAAACCACCAUGGAAUUGGUGAAAUUAAACGUUGAUGGUUGCAGCAAAGGCAACCCGGGAUUUCCAGGGGCAGGAGGAGUACUUAGAGAUAGUUUGGGAUCAUGGAUCAAGGGAUUUGCCAUUAACACGGUGUUCGCUUUUCAGCUAAAGUGGAGCUGUGGGCAUCGAUCACAGGAUUGAAAUUUGCUCGAUCAUUGCGUAUACAAUUUUCUAUUAGGAAAAAGUGGGAAGAAAACCACUUGGGGUAACCCCAAUGGAUUCGUGUGAAGACUUGAAGAACAAAAUGAGGGAUCUUGUGAAGAGAUCUCUAUCUGCAAGCAUGGAAGGAGCUACGGAUCACGGGUAGUGAGCUUCAAUGUAUGCAGGGGGCAGGUAAGAUAAAGUGAGAACGUGGUGCCUAAUUUUCAAUAUCUGCGUGCUGCCCUCAUGAUGACAUUAAUCUUAUGUCCGUUGGUUCUUUGAAAUAGACAUGAUGUUCUCUGUUACGGUGAUCUUUUGUAGCUUUUUUCAAUGCCUUUUCGGUGCUGUAUGGCAUGUUGAUGGAAGCCCUCAACUAGUAAAACUAGCAUAGCACUCUCUGCCUAGCUAGGGCACGAGAAUUGAAAUCAAGCCAUAGCUAUUCCCAUUUCGGUUGAA